rnacentral:rRNA from 1 species
GCGGAGGGAUCAUUACACAACAAAAUAUGAAGGCCUGGCUUUGCGGCCGGCUGAAAUAUUUUUUUCACCCAUGUCUUUUGCGCACUUGUUGUUUCCUGGGCGGGUUCGCCCGCCACCAGGACCAAACCAUAAACCUUUUUUUUAUGCAGUUGCAAUCAGCGUCAGUAUAAACAAUGUAAUUAUUACAACUUUCAACAACGGAUCUCUUGGUUCUGGCAUCGAUGAAGAACGCAGCGAAAUGCGAUACGUAGUGUGAAUUGCAGAAUUCAGUGAAUCAUCGAAUCUUUGAACGCACAUUGCGCCCUUUGGUAUUCCAAAGGGCAUGCCUGUUCGAGCGUCAUUUGUACCCUCAAGCUUUGCUUGGUGUUGGGCGUUUUUGUCUCCCUCUUUGCUGGGAGACUCGCCUUAAAACGAUUGGCAGCCGGCCUACUGGUUUCGGAGCGCAGCACAUAUUUUGCACUCUGUAUCAGGAGAAAAGGACGGUAAUCCAUCAAGACUCUUACGAUUUUUAACUUUUGACCUCGGAUCAGGUAGGGAUACCCGCUGAACUUAAGCAUAUC